AUUGUGUGCCUUGCACUGCUUUUCAGUGAGGGUGAGUGCAAAAGAUACAUCAAUAUGAGGUAUCAAACUGAGGCUUAGAUGUUCCUUUUAAGUGGCUGCUCAUUUCCUUGAGCCAUAACAUGGGCUAAAGGUUAACUUACACAGAUCUCCGUGGAAGAACAAUUUCUCUUUUUUUGGGGAAGGGAGAAGCAAGGGGAAAGGGCGUUGUUUCGUAGUCUUUCCCACCUAUAGACUCCAUGUGAUGUACAGUGCUGCUCGUGCAGAUUUUUUUUUUUGUUUUUGUUCCCCCCCACUGGAUUAUUUGCUAAUCAGACUUCAGUGCAGUGGAGAUAAGAGCGAGACUGUUGCCUAGCUCCGGAGCCAGGAGCACCGCGGCCGUCCCGCCUCUCCAUGGGCCCGGCGCGGCGGAGCUGUCCGAGGUGCUAGGAUGAUGCUGGCUGCGCGGGCGGGCAGGGCAGCCGGAUUGCAGCAGGAGAGGAGCCCCACAGUCCUGCUGGCACCCGAAGGUAUUAUGUGUUUUUCAACCUGCAGGAAACGUUGCUUUCCUUUGUUCAUUAUCUCCUGCAAGAUGAUGAGUUCUAAUCAGGAGGAGGUCACUUUGGGCGCUUUUCUCCAGUAUAUUGAAGAUAUGGGGAUGAAGGCCUAUGAUGGCUUGGUUAUACAGAAUGCAUCAGACAUUGCUCGAGAGAAUGAUCGCAUGAGGAAUGAAACAAACCUGGCUUACUUGAAAGAAAAGAGUGAAAAACGUCGAAAACAAGAAGAAGCAAUAAAACGCAUAGGUGGAGAAGUAGCAAGAGGAAAUGAAGGCAGCUACGUGGGGAAACAUUUCCGCAUGGGAUUUAUGACGAUGCCGGCUCCUCAGGACAGGCUGCCUCAUCCUUGCUCCAGUGGCUUUACCGUGAGAUCCCAGUCUCUUCAUUCUGUUGGAGGAACCGACGAUGAAAGCAGCAGCUCCCGUAAGCAGCCACCUCCGAAACCGAAGCGAGACCCCAACACCAAACUGAGCACCUCAUCUGAAACAGUCAACACAGGAACAACAAGCAAAAGUGGGAAACUACCGGACCGGACUGAAGUGUCAGCCAAACCAAGACCUCACAGUGAUGAAUACACAAAGAAGAUUCCACCUCCUAAGCCGAAACGAAACCCAAACACUCAGCUAAGCACAUCUUUUGAUGAAACGUAUAUCAAAAAGCAUGGCCCUAUGAAGACAACACUCACUAGGGAUGCCUCUUUGUCGCAGGUCAGCAGUCCUGCUCCAGACACAGAGGAAGAAGAGCCUGUUUAUAUUGAAAUGGUUGGGAAUAUUCUCAGAGACUUCAAAAAAGAUGAGGAUGACCAAAGCGAAGCCGUCUACGAGGAGAUGAAAUACCCUAUAUUUGAUGAUGUAGGCCAAGAUUCAAAAUGUCAAUGUGAAUAUGACCAUCACACUUGUUCUUCUCAGUGUGCUACUCCCACAGUGCCUGACCUAGAUUUCACCAAGUCUUCAGUGCCAUCUACUCCCAAGGGCUUGCUUUGUGAUAUACCCCCGCCAUUUCCAAAUCUGCUUUCUCACAGACCUCCACUGCUGGUGUUCCCACCAGCACCAGUGCAGUGUUCCCCAAAUUCUGACGAGUCUCCUCUAACUCCACUAGAGGUCACAAAGCUUCCCGUUUUAGAAAAUGUGUCUUACAUCAAACAACAACCUGGAGCUUCUCCAUCUUCACUGCCACCUCAUACACCAGGCCAUCAAAAACUGGAGAAAGACCAGACAGUAUCUCAUGGAACUAGCACCCCUGGGCACACCUCCUCACCUCCUCAUCCUUCUACCUUAUACAGAACACAGUCUCCACAUGGUUAUCCUAAAAGUCACUCUGCCUCACCUUCUCCUGUCAGUAUGGGUAGGUCUCUUACCCCCUUAAGCCUCAAAAGACCUCCACCUUAUGACUCUGUACAUUCAGGAAGUCUCUCAAGAAGCUCUCCAUCAGUGCCUCAUUCUACAGCCAGAAACACAUUGCAAGAAGGAGGAAAGAUGGUAAAUGCCUCUGUCAGUACCUACGGGUCAUCCUGUCAGAGUGGUUCCCGUUCUCGGACACCCACCAGUCCUCUGGAGGAACUAACCAGCCUCUUCACCUCAGGACGAAGCCUCCUGAGGAAGUCCUCCAGUGGCAGAAGAUCUAAGGAGCCUGCAGAAAAACCACUAGAUGAGCUGAAGAUCAGAAGUCACAGCACUGAACCACUACCAAAGCUGGAAAACAAAGAGAGAGGAUAUCAUGGGACAACUUCCUCUAGGGAGCCAGGGAAAGCUCAGGAAUGGGAUGGAACGCCGGGCCCGCCUGUGGUGUCCAGCAGGCUGGGGAGAUCCUCUGUCAGCCCAACCAUGUUGGCUGGAAGCAACAGCUCAGAGUCUAAAGCAAGCUGCAGAUUAGGUCGGUCUGCAUCCACGUCAGGUGUGCCUCCUCCCUCCGUGACACCGCUCAGGCAGCCCAGUGACCUUCAGCCGAGCCAGGUACCAUCGUUAGCCAAUCGUGAAUGACUCCAUGUGCUGCAACAUGCCAAGUGUUUCUCACCUCUGUGUCUGUCAUUUGUUACAGUAAAUGGUUUUUUUGGGUCUUUGUCUUUAUUUUCCGUGCGUACGUGUGCGUGCAUCUGUGUGUGCGCAUCUCCCAUUGGCAAUGAAAUUCCACUGGCCGCAGCCAGCAGAAUUUUCUUUGCUCUUAAUUCCUUGUAUCUUUUUCUGUCUUCAUUCUGUAAUAUAAAUGUAGUAAAACUGUACUGUAUGAACUGGCUGGGCUUUUUAUUUUUUCAUGUUUUCUGUACUUUUUUACUGUCUUAAAAUUUAUCAAACUUUGAUAAAUUUAAUCUAUGUUUUUAUGUAAAUUUCUUUUAAAUGUCUUGUCUAGAGCACUUACACCAAUGUUUGUCAAAGACUUGUACAUACUUGACUUCUGCUCAGUUAUACUUUAAUAUUUGUGCCAGUCUCACGUUUGGUUGGAGCUUAAUGCAUGAUUGUAUGACACUGUGAUUUAUCACUGUCCUGAAAACUGCUCUUACAGCAAGUGAUUUUUCUUUUAGUUAAGGCAGCUAGACUCUCUUCAGCUAUAGACCAUGUAAUGCUUACAAGGACUAUUAAAUAGUCCACUGUAGUUAUAUUUAUUGUAUAUUAGGAAUCAGAAAAACUAAUCAAAGGGACAACACCUCAUUUUAUCUUAAACAGAGAUACUUUUUUUUUUCCUCAUCAGAAACAAAACUGCCACAUAGAAGGAAAUGGAAGUGUUUGGGUUUGGCAAGUUUCUCCAGUAGAGAGAAAAUGGAAAAGAAAUAAAGACAUGGGAAACCUAUACUUACCUUUAUUUCAUAUGCUAAUACUGAUACCAUAACAUUUUGUUGCACAGACCUGUAUUAUUAGUUUGACAGAACUAAGUGAGAGUGGCAACUGAGAGAAGAGGUUUGGCUUGAACAUCAUGUGAAUGCCUUCUGUCGAAGCACUCUGGUUUCAUGUCACUCGUGUGUGCGGGCCCGCACAUCACUGCGUGCGUGGGGGGCUCUAUGUGUGCACAAGGACACACCAACAUAUAUGUGUUUAUGUGCCCAUGCAUAUAUGUAUGCACACACACCCAGGCACUCUUACUUAGAUGGUGAAUUUUCAGGGAAUUAGUCCCCAAAAUCCUGUUGAACAUCAGUGAGGUUUGAGUGGAGAAACUCCCUGAGGACUGCUUUGCAAUAAUCACAUGUUUGCAUUGUCUCUAGCUAGGCAAGUUGCUUCUGUAAGGUCUUGACCAAAGUAAAGACCAGAAGAGUAAGGCUGAUUUAUUGACUCCAGACAACCAGCUACUUGUUAGGAAGGUUAUAUUUGGCCAGCCUGGUCCAUACAGGUUACCAUUCUGUAACCUGUAUGAACUGAUGCUAUUGUGUUUCUUCUGAGCCCGGCUGGACACAGAGCCUGACAGAACCAUGCACAUUUCUAAAGCAUAUUUUACAUAAGCAAAUCACAUCCAUAAUGGAGAUUCAAAGUGACAGCCCAUUUAAAUAACACAUCAAGUGUUCCUUCAUCUAAGGAAGAAAUUAGGGUAAUUGCACUUCCAAAGGUUUUGAGGAUCCCAGUGUUCAUGUAGUAUAUAUUUUUGAUUAAAUGGGUCUUACAGCACAGAUGAUUCUUUGCUGUUUACUCAGUGGCAAAGGCACUUUGGGUGUUUUGAAGGGAUUUCAGUCUCUCCAUUUAUACUAAGAACUAAACAAUAAGCCUUUAAAGCAGAAGCUGAUGUGAUAGAAGAGAUAAUGAGGCUCUUAGAAGCUGCAGCCAGAGUUCACUGAAACUGUGGAGGGAAAAUCCACCUCAAUUCAUACAGAAGAAAGGAACAAAGAUGAUAAGAGGAAUUGUCAAGUGACUGUAGGAGGGUGAUCUUGUUAAUUGAAUAAUGUAUGGUAUGGUCAAGACUUCAUGAAAAGCAAGAAAAACUAGUGCAAGCUUUCUCUCCUUAAGUCUUCCCUUCAAGCUGACAAUAUCUUACAGUCCAUCUAUUAUGUUGCCCUUUGUUAUGAUAACAUAAUUUUUAAAGGUGUGGAUUUAACCUUGAUUCCAGUGGAGUGGCAGAAGUCUGAUCAUGUCCAUGGCAGAUAAAAACAUUACUUUGAUUGUGCUCUUUCAACACCUAUUCUAUCUUAAUGAGCAAAUAAUCUGUGGCGGGUGAAAUGUGUUUCAAACGGCUGGGUUUUUAGCCCAUCCUCAGUCUGACAGAUUGUGGCAUACAGGGUAUCUAUUUUCGUGUGCUGUGGCUAUUGAUUGUAUUGAUACUGGGUUGCUUAACCACAUUGUAACGAGCAGUUAGACUUUCCAAAAGAUCAAAAGGAUGCACUGUGUUAUCCACCUCUUUGUCGAUCAGAUGGGCACAGCUGACAUUCAUACAGGGAUACAAGAUCUGGGAAAGGGCAGAUGACUGUUAAUUGGUUUUCUCAAAUCUUCAUGGAUACCAAACUGAUGGUUUUCAGAAUGUUUAAUGUGGGGGAAAAAAGAUUUGCAACUGAGCUCUCAAAGCCCAUUGUUUUUAAAGCAGUAAUUUAAGGAUGUGGUGAGGAUGCUUAUUAACUAAAAAUAGGUUUGAUCUAAGGAAACCUAUAUUUUAUUCCAAUCAAAUACUGGCUAAAUAUGUAACUACUGACUUUUAAAUCCCCUAUGCCUUAUUUUCUUAUUUCUUGUUUGCUUAUUGGUGUAGGAAUUGUGAGGAGUAACCAUCAGUAUUCACAAAACUUAUUUAAGGUGUAUUGAUGGUAAGCAUUAGAGGGAUCACUUAUAAAUAAAAAGGGCUUAUGAUCAGAGAAGAAUUAUGUAGCUGGUCUCUGAUGGACAAUGCUUUAAACAUUCUGUAUGUAGUGUCAGAGAACAGUUACCAACAUGCUGAGCCAAAUAGAGAGCCUGCCAUUCUGUCCUUAGUUCUGGGAAAUGGGGAGAGCAUUUGGAAAGAACUGGUUGCAGGAAGAAGCCUUGGAUAAAAUAUUGAAUUGUCUCGAUUUAAACUGAAAGAUGAACAUAAGUUUAUCUUGGAAUUGAAUUUAUUGAUUAUGAAAGGACAAAGUUUAAGAAUUUAAGGAAAUAGCAGAGGAAGUCAGGUAGGAAGCUUGGAAGUGUAACAUGGGAGAAGCAUGAAACACUUUUGAGCUACAAAAGUAGCAUAUAGCUGUAUUUCCUAAAUGUACAUCUCAAUAUAAAUACCCUGAAGAGAGGAGUGUAAGCAGCAGAGAAGCAUUCUAGAAAUAACCUAUUGCCUUAUAAAAAAAGGAAAGAAGGAAGGAAAUCUAAAAGGUGCAGGAGCAGGUCAUCCUCAUGUGCCAAAUGUCAAACCAGCAAGGGAAGAUGACCUGCCUGUCUGAACAGAGUUUUAGCUGGAAUUCUGGCAAAUAGGAGAGUUUAUGAGGUUUGGAAGAAGGGACAGGCAACUCAGGAGGACAGGGGUGUCACGAGGUUAUGCAGGGGAAGAAUUAGAAGGACCAAGACCUGACUGAAAACCUAGUAUGUCUACUGCCACAAAAGGCAAUAAAAAAUUUUCCUGUAAAUGCAUUGGCAGUAAAAAAAAGGCUAAAGAAGAAUCUCCAUCCUUUAGUGGAUGGGGAAGGAAUCACAGUGAAAAAGGAUGGUGAAAAGGCUGAGGUACAUAAUGCUUUCUUUGCCUCAGUGUUCAAUAGUAAGACCAGCUGUUUUCUGGGUACCAGCCCCCUGAGCUGGAAGGCAGGGCCAGGGAGGAAAAUGAAGCCCCCAUAAUCCAAAGAAAAAUGGUCAGUGAACUGCCAUAUCACUUAGACACACAUAUUAGGAUAAAAUGCAUUUAUAUUAGGAAAAAUUUCUUCACAGAAAGGGUUGUCAAGCAAUGGAACAGGCUACCCAGAGAAGUAGUUGAGUCCAUCCUACUACCCCUGCAGGUAUUGAACAAUGUGCAGAUGUGGCAGGGGAUGUGGUUUAGUGGUGGACUUGACCAUGUUGUAUUAAUGGUUGGACUUCAUUAUCUUGAGGCAUUUUAUAACCUAAGUGAUUCUGUCAUUCUAUAAAGGUUCUCUGGUGUUCACAGAAAGCUUACGGGGAAUGGAAAAAUAUUCUAGAAAGUACAGCAAGUUGUAUCUUAGAGAUAAGAAAUGUCUGACUAACAUUAGAGAUAGUGAAAGUCCAUCUGUGUUUGGCCUUUAUAUGGAAAUGAAAACAGUCAUUUUUAGCCGAGUAACAGUUUUCUGUAGCCAUCUAAGUGGGUAGAGAACAGUAGAAUUUAACCACAUGUGAGGUUUAUAAAGCACGUGGUCCACAGAUACCCCAAUAAAUGAAUCCUCACCUUUAUUACUGGAGCCUCUGUGUUGGUGCCUGAGACUUCUGUACCAGGCAUGGUCAGGUGUUUGACCCUGCAGUGGUAAAUGCUCAGUCCUGUCAGGGCACCCCUAUAGUGAACAAAACAGUUCACCUGCGUAAAGCAAGCAGGAUUUGGAGUCACAGGCAUCACUGGGAUAGUUUUCUUGGCAUCCUGUCAUUCUUCACAUCAUCACCUCAGGGUAACAAAGGAUUGCAUCCUGUCGAUGGGCUCAGACAUCCCUGUUGCACACUGGAUUCGUGUGCACUCAGCAUGUCUGUCACAGAAGAAGAAAAUGUUUCAAGCAGAGCUGGGCUGUGGAGGUCCCUCUGCUGGAGAGCAGAGCAUCUCACAUCCAGAGUUCUAAUGUACAUAAAAUUAUCUCUAGGUCACUGCCAUGCUUCUCUAAAACAGUCUUUAGCACAGCAAAAAAAAAAAAACAACUUGUUUCCAUUUUAAGAAGAAAAAGAGGUGAUAUAAUUAUCUGGAUUUUUUUUUUCUGCAAAUGAAUUUGCAGAAAGUGAGGUUCAUUUUCAUUAAGAUGUAGACAGUGAUUGGAAAAUCCCUUGUACUAAGCUGCAUAGCAGCACAGUAGUGCAUGCUUAUAACAAAGAUCCAUGACCUGAAGGAAAACACAUGCUUUGAAAACAAAAUUGCUGAUAGCUGGAGUUUGGUAUUUAAGCUUGUCUGCAAAGCAGAUCCUAUUCCCAGACGGAUUUCUACAAAUCUGUCUACCUUAUCUGCAAAUGUGCAGCCUCUCUUCAUGCUGCCUGUGAGUUGUUUGCCUUUCAGUGGCCAGACAGCACUGUCCUUUCCUGAGGUAUGCUAUCUAAAUUCUGAGGGUGUGUAUACCUCUUAAGGUCUGGUGUCUUCUUGUGGGGAAAACUGGGCAGUGAUAUCUAGCUCCAAUUUAAGCAAGAAAAGAAGAUUUAAACUUCACAGUGAUGAUCAAAGUAAAAUCCAGAAGCCAUGCUGAGAUUAGAAGGAAUAACUCAGAAGAGGGGAUGAAGGUACAUGGACAGCUAUGAAUUAAGGAGUUUCAACGUGCAUUGAAGGAAUGAAGAAAAAGCUAAAAAAUAUAUCAGCAUCAACAUUGAAUUUUUUUAUGGCUUAUUUAAAAAAAAAAAAAAAGAAGUGCAGCUCAGUUCAUUACUUCUCUGGUAUCUGCCUGAGCUCUCAGAAAGCUGAGAUAGCACUUUUCUUUCCCCAUGUGACCUACCUACUUUUGAGUAGUCUAAAUCAGGGGUAUAAUACAACUUCCCCAUAGGUGGUAGGAAGAGAGGUGCCUGCAGAGGGAAUUACCUGGCUAAACCCUCAGUGAGCUGCUUGUCUGUUCCCUUAGACAACCUGGUAAUUCAGUUAAUUAACCUGGAAAGCUUGUUGGGAUCGUUCCUGCUCUGUGUGUGUUAGAGGCUUCUGGACAGAUAACAGUCACUGCAGUUUCCAUUGCAGGUUUGUAGGCAUUUAUAGGUUUUCACACUCCAUCCAUAGGCACUGGGAGAAAGAGUAUGAAUGUGGCUGGUCCUGCUGAAAGGUACUCUGAAAUUACACACUUUUGGCACCUUCCUGAGGAAGGGAGGGAGGGAGGGAGGAGGAGGCUUGCUCCAGACUCCUUUAUUAAAUCCCAGUUCUUCCACACAACAGCUUAGAUAACAUUUUGCUUAAGACUCAGUAUUUUGGUGUCAACUGAAAUGCAAUCAGAAGGCACACAAUUCAUUGUGAAAAAAAUUCUAGCAUUAAAGCUGAUGUGAGGCCUUCGGGGCAACUAUUCUUUGAUUUUGUACUCCAGCAGAAAAAUCCCAAACACCCAUUCUAAUUGUUCAAUUUUAAAACAAAAGCAUGAUGGAAGGGAAUUACAACAAAGAGAAAGCUGAGAUACAUAUUUGGCUGCUUUCCACAUGCAUCAGUAGAGCAAUACAUUGUAGUUUAAGUGCAGUUUAAGGUUAUUGUAAGAAACAUACAAAACUUUGGAGGAAUAAUUUAAAAUGGAAUUUUGACAAGUACUGAGCAUUCUUCAGCAACACAGCUAUGUAUUUGUCUCACAUCUAAGUUAAUUAAUAACUGUGUUGGGUCAACUAAGUAUCACAAGCCCAGCUUGUACUGUCUCCAGCCUUAGUUGUGUAUAUAAAGCAUAUUGUAGUCUUUGUAUGCCUUGUAAGCAUUGUGGUCACACGGUAAUUAAUGAAUGCAAGGAGGGGAAAUUGUUACCAUUAUGGCUGUAAUUAUUUUUGAAGGCACCUAGACAAAGUACUUUUCCAACGAAUUGACAUUAUCAUGCUUUAGUGGGCAAAUGUGCAUCUGAAAGCGAAUACUCCGUGAGCAUAAACAAAGCAUCUGUGCUCUUCUAUUAUUCUCAGCUUAAAGUUGCCAUUUUCCCCAGCAGUAGUGUACAAGAGUUCAAAGAGUCAGCAAACACCCUGCAGUUGUCAGGCACUGUAGCAGGGCUGGGUUCCUGGCUGCUGCAGUUAAUGAAUUCUGCUGCUGAAAAAUGAGCACCUGUAAACCAAGAUUCACUGUUUCGUAUCUGAUCACAGGAGCCUUUUUUUUUAACUUUCAUUAUACAAAAGAAACACAGUCAUUGCAGGUAGAUGGAGAACUCUGUGGAGGAAAGUACUCCUCCGUCAAGUUUGAGUACUAGGGAAAUGGCAACACAAAAAAAUAAGGUGUGCUAAUAAGAGAAUUUGUAUGUGUUACAUAGCGUGAACCCAUGUCAGUGCCCAGUAUUGUAAACCUUGGCUCGAUGCACUCCUUGAUGAAUCUCAGACUGGAACUAGCUUCAAACUCUAGUGAUUCUGCUGUUGUAGUUCUUGUAAUGCACGAGGAUUUGCAGUGAAAGAACCAUCUUCUGUCAUACUUGCUCUCUUGACCAAAGGGAAGAAAGAUCCCCAUGGGCUGCUGGUUAAAGAUCUCAGGGGGCAUGCAGUCCCAAAUUUGCAUUCAAGGGAAAUAUCUAGCUACUGUGCUAAUUGCCACUCUGAUAUGACUGCCCCUCUCUUCUCCUCUAAUUUUCCAAAGUUCUGAAAGUCUGUUGUGUGUUUUGGACAUAGAAUAGCAAAACAUAUGAAACAAUUCAUGGAACGGUGGCAAUCAUUUUCUUCUCCCUGUGUGUAAAUGCCAAAUGUUCCCCUACAAGCCAGUGCAAUGCCUCUGAGAUGUCUGUUUCUGUGCUCCUGGAGCCAAGGUUAUGGUUGCUCCUUUUUGAUACUUGAUCUUCUUCUUUAUUCAAAAUAUAUGUCCACUAUGUGGGAAGAGUCCCAUAGCACUCACUCUGUAAUCAGAGCCCCAUGGGGUUUUGGUCUGGACUUUCUAUACACUAUUUAUUACUUGAGAUGGUAGCUUCUAUUUUUGCCUGAGAAGCUAUUCACUUAAUGGGACUUAAUUGCUCCUUAUGUUUAACCAUCCCAUUUAAUAAGGCUUGGGAUAGUCACUGGAUCCAAAACCUUCUUAAUGUUGGCCACAAGGAUCUACCACAAUAAUGAUUGCAGUGCUGUCUGAGAGUCAUAGUCAUAAAGUGUUGGUAGGCAAUAUGUGUGGAACAAAGACUGUUCUUACCCCAAGGAUUUUUAAGGUCAGUGUAAUAGAUGAGAAAGCGGUUGCAGGUGGGAGUAGACUGGUAAGUGUGUGAGUGUCAGGGAUUGGUUAAGGUUUGGUUUCUGUGAAAUUAGAAAGUGCAAAAACUAUUUGCAGUGCAAUCUGCUGUAUCUGUGCAGUGAUAUUACAUUAUUUGUCACUAGUACGAUGAAAUGCAUUUGAAUGUCUAAAAGUGGAAAACCAGGAACAUUUUAUGGGACACUUUGCAAAUGUUGUCUCUCUCAAAUGGCCCUCUCAUGGAGAAGUCCUGCUCCUCCAGUGGAGAAGUCUUUGGUGUCUGUGUAGGCAAAGAAAAAGGAAUGUGGACAUAGAGUGAUUCUUGUGGAUGCAAGUUUUGCAAAUAGCUGGGAGCAGGGAACUCCUCUGGGUCCUACCUGGGAGGAUGGACAGCCACUAAGGGGUACAGAAAGAAGCCCCUGGCACAGGCACUUCACUGAUGGGACAGGGGCCAACUUUUACCUUGAGAUGAUGUCUGGAUUUGACCAGUGUGUGGCCUGAGCGUAUUUGAAAACCUGAAUCACCCAGAGCCGUAGGAUUUUACUUUCUUGUUUAGGCUGCAUGUUCAUAAGAGUCAGGAAUGAGUCACACUGACUGCCACGACCUCGCAAGAAGUGCCAGGGCAUGAGGCAUGAGCUGUGUCCUGCAGCAUCACACUGCACAGCUCUGAGGAAUUUGCACUGCCAAGAAUCUGUUAGACUUCCAAAUACGCUUUUGUGCCUUUCUAAAGUGCAGCAGAGCCCCGUGCCCACGAGAGGGAGCAGUUGGAUUACUUUACACAGCUCUGGGGUUUUCCCUGCAAAGACAAAUCUCUUGCACACAAAAGCAAAAUUCUGCUGUCGUCAGUCCAGCUAAGUAUUCUGUCAACAUUUUGGAUGAGAGCAACAAGAAGAAUGUUAAUGCUUUGGGGAAGGCUCCACAUUGCAUUGUGUUGAGUUUCAGCUUGAAUCUGGUCUUACAUAAUCAGUGCAUGGGUCCAGAGCAGUGCAAAUGGUUUCUAAAUAUGCAAACUGCAAAUAAAGAAUGCUUAUUAAAAAAAAAAAUAAAAAAAUUUAAAAAAAGGAGUGAAAAUAAAAUGCAAACCUCGAAGCAGAUGGAAUUGCCACAUCCAUCAUCCCUCACGAAGCAAAUGUGUCAAAGCUGUCUCUCUGCUAGCAGACAAGUCUCCUGUUGCUGUCCCAGCAUCUUUUCUUUUCCCAUUCAGCUGGGUUGGUUGUGCAGAAGAAGCAGGUCAAUGCAUUGCUGGGUCCUGUUUUGCUAAGACUCUGAUUUAAGUGCCUGCCCAGCAGCCUCACAGCACCAAAGCAGCCUCUGCUUCCCAGUGCAGGGAAUGCCAGGCAGAGUUGGAUCUGAGCAUGUGCUGCUGUUGUGGUUGGUCUCAGGGCCCAAGCUUGGCUUUGGUGGCUCUGUCCUACUCCAUACAGCUCAGCAGCAUGGUGUUCAGGCACAAAAUAGAUGUGUUGGAGAGAAGCAGUAAUGGGUGAAAGCAGGUCAGCUGUAGAAAACAUAAUGCCACAGCACGAGGGUGUCAGACAUGGAAACGGAGUGACCGGUCUCUGAGCACCAGACCGUCACAGAAGUUGUUGAAACCUUUCAAAUAUAACAAUAUUCUGACAAAGAGUGAAAAACAGGAUUUAUGAGGUUUUCACUUCCUGCUUUCACUACUGUCUUUUAUCAAGUUGUGUCUCAGACUGGGAGUUACAGUUUCUUUAAAAGACACAGGACAGGCAAAGAUCUCACCUGCGUGGUCUGUGGUUUCAGGGGGUUGUUGUGUUGCUCCUGUUUUUGGUAGAGUUGAGAUGGUGUGUUUCAACACUUUGAGCAACAGAGAGAUUUAUGGGGACAGGUGCUGCAGCCAAAGCAGCACGAUGCAGGUGGUUAUUCCCUGGAAGGUGACAUACCCUCUGGAGCCCCUGGAGGUUGGUGAGAACCGUGUGCCUCUGGAGCCUCAGGGCUCGAAUAUGAGGCAACAGACAAGCAUGACCUUUCUUUUGAGAGUCAGACUUGAGCACAGGCAUGCAGAGUGGCAUACACAGAAACUAGUAGCUAAUAUUUCCGAUAACAUACUUAUGCAGGUCAAUGAGAUGGAGAGAUACAUGCCUUGAAAAUCUUGCAUAACCAUUGGCCAAGUGUGCCUGAGAUGUGACUCUUCAGCUUAGUGAAUCAGUGUGACCACUGUCCUGUCCUGUCCUGUCCUGUCCUGCCUACUACAAGAAACUAGAAAUUAUUUGGAACUUCCUAAUCUCAUUUUUAGCGAAUCUUACAGUGUUGUAUAUGAUUCUACUAAAAAUAGGUAACAAGUUGCAGUAAUACUAAAAAAAUAUAUAAUGCCAUUUAUGUGAAAUAAUUUCAGUCCAAAUAUGAAUAAGUUGCCUAUAAAGGAAUUUAAUUCAGUAGCAUUCCUUUCUCUUCAGGGAAUCUCUCUUUAAGGCAUUUCUCAUAAAUUUACUUAUUCUCUCCUAAAACUUGUAAAUUCACUUCAAAACUUGUUCUAAGACUUUUGUGUGCAAACAAUUAGUUUAGUCACAGCACCAGAACAAUAGCAAUUGCUAAGUUUAUUUCAAAUGGUCUUGCAACCACUAUUGAAGACAUUGUGCCUUGGUUAGAAAAUUAUUUAAAAAAAAACCCCAGAAGCAUGCAAUUUCCUUUUUCCCCCUCCCCUUUUCUGUGUGUAUUUAUGUUUAACUCAGGGCAAGAAUUUUAUAAUAUUCUUAAAGGAAAAGAUAGAAAUAAAAAUGGCAUGAAUUCAUGAAAGCAUGGGUUUAUAUAUAGGCAUUCUCUGUAAAUGAACCAUUCUGUAUCCUAGGUAGAACAACCUUAUUUGUCUGCUCAUAUGCAUUUCAGUUGCCUCCACGCGCUCCCACUUGUCCUCCUUUUUUUUUUUUUUCGUAUAUGAACUGAAUGUACUGUACCACGUUCCUGUUUGAACUGCGUGUGCCUGACGCAUAACCCGUGGCACAGAAGGGCCAGUUUGUCCCCACCGUCUGCAUUCGGUCACAAACCAUCCCAGCUGUGUCCUCAUGGUUGUCACCACCUCACCAGACUCUCUCGGUGUUCGUGUAGCCUUAUACAGUAUAUUGCACUUACUGUACCUGUAUAGUAUCUGGUCUGUAUACUGUAUGCACAUAAAUAUGUAUAUUCACUCAUGUAUGUAUGUAUAGUUCGUUUCUAUAUCUCUGUAUAUGUACGUGUGUUUGUUCAUGGUCUUUCACUAGAAAUGUGUGGCUACUCAUAUACAUUACGUGUAUGACAAUUAUAAAAAGGUGUGAAUGCCAGCGCCCACUUUUGAUAACCCACUUUUAUUCUCAUUUUGUCUUGUUAAACAAUGAAAAUAAAAACAUCACGUAUUUUAAGUGACAACUUUAAAAGGAUUGUUGUUUUCACUAACUUUAAGGUUUCUAGUUUUUCAGAAAAAUUGUUUGAACAGAUUUCAAAAUUGCGAAUGUGUUGGUGUUUCUCCUGACAGUUUUCUGUAGUUGCAAAAUAUUUGGUAACAGCCCACUCUGUGUAGUUUUGGUUCUCUGCAUCUUAUGCUCUUCAAGUGCUCCAAGGUUUAGAAAUGCCCUAAACCAGAUGGACUUCUGUGCUGCAAAUCCCAUCUCUGUUCACAUGAGGGACUUGCCAUCAAUCUAGGGGGUGAGUCGUGUCUGUGACAUCUUGCAUGAUUAAAUACUGGAUAUAGAAGGGCCUUAGGCUGGAAAGAAUGUUUUCUUCAGUGCAGGUGAGCCUUAGGAAUGGAUAAAACCACCCAAAUUUAUUAGUCCAUUUUAUGGGAGCAUUACAGACGCUUUUUGUCAGGCCUCUUAUGCUUUGCAGUCCACAGUAACAUAUAAUUGCCAAUUGAUUAGGCAUUUAUUAAAACAGCUAACAAUCACUUAUUAGCCCUUUGUAAAAUUAAUCACCACACAGCUGUAUGGAGGCUCAGUUAUCUGGUGGGGAGGCAGCAAAGCUCUGGUUUAUCUUACAUAGCAAAAUAUCUCUGUAAGUCAAAGGGGUGACUGGUACAUAUUUUCCAGUUGAGCAUGUGUUUAAGUUAUUCAGUGAACUGGAGCUUAAAUGAUCAUCAUCUGUGUUUCUCUGUGAGACCUAGGACUGAUAAAUUUGCUCCCUUUACAGUUAAUAUUAUCAUUGUACUAGAUGAUUUAGUCUCGGUGUGGAUUAAGUUACUGCAGCAGAGUGGCAGCAGCUACUCAGAAAAAUCUCAGAAGACAGAUCUUUAUGCAGGAAAUACUGAGAAACUUGUAGGAUGGCAGAGACACUGUUAGGAAGAGCCUUCACCCCAACUGAAAUUGCACACUAGAAAAUUCUUUACAUUUAAAGUUGCAGGGUUAAAUUCUGACUUCACUCAGGUCAACAGCAAAUUCCCAUUUCACUCAUAAGCUGUAACUAGAAUGUCCAAGGAAUGCUUUUCCUCCACAAAACAUAGGAUGGAGAAAGGACAUAUUCCACUGACUGAGCUCAGAGUUUAUGGGCCAGUGGUCUGAUCACGAGUCUUUGCAAAUCGGUGGCAAUUCGUGGACUCUUUGAUUCUCUUGGCCCAUCUUUUUUUUUUUACAGUCUGAAAAAGCACGUUUGCUGUCUAGGGUUUCUAAUCACAGUUGUAUAAUUCACAACAGAAAAGAAUAAAAAAUGAGAAAAGACAGCAGUAAUAUGCAUUUUUAAAACUAACAUUGGUGAGAUCAUGGCUCUUGCUUGAACUCUGCACCAAAAUUUAAAACACAAUUAUAAUCAGAGAAAAGCAGUGGUUUUUUUGCUGGUUGACAGUUUGUCAAUCUCUUUCUUUUGAAUCCCAUUUUCUAAAGCAUGCAGAUACCAGUCUGAGUCUCUUGCCUGUAUCUCAACUAUUUUAUGUGUCAGGAAGUCAUGUCAAUAUUAGAUUUGGGUACUGUAUUAUUUAACCGUUCCUGAUAUAAAUGAAGUUGCAUGAUCUUGCUGUGAGGUAACAUCAGAUGUGGUACUUCAUACUGAGGCAACGUCUUAUAUCUUUGAUUUCUUUAGAAACUCUCUACAGUUUUCAACUCUAGCAACUGUUGAUUAACUGAAUGCGAAACUCGAGUAAGAAAUUAAUCAUUAGUGGAGAUCUCUGUGUUUUAAUAAUGUUUUUAUGCAUUUUUAGAAGGAAGAUGCAACCCCCUACAAAAAUAAGAUCAACUCUGUACAUUCAGUGUUGGUUUUAGUCAUGUUUUCCUGAACUUUUUUCCCCUCUGUACAAUCAGGACAAUUUUUGAGAAAUGGCAUUUAGUCUAAGAAAAUGAUUGACUCAAUUUCACCAUCCAAAAAGGAGAAAUGGAAGAGCAUAUUUCAGAAUUUCUCAUCUGUAAAGCAACUUUAAGUAAUGAAACUUCAAAGUAAAGUAACUUGGAGUGCUGAGGCAUUUUCCCUCUGUAUAUUAUUCGCUAAUUUUAUAUUUCUUUUAUUUUAAAAUUGUUUUCUUGACCGUUUUCUUGAAAAUGCUAGAUAAAUAUUCAGACUUAGGUGCUUUGCUGGUAAACUGGUGUGGUGAAGUUCUUCAUCUGUCCCAGCAGUAAAAGUUAGUUAAAUCUUGGAUUCCAGUACUGACUUAGUAGGAACAGUGCUGAAGCUCAUGUAUGUGUUUUAGCUUGGAAAAAAUGAGGUCCAAUAUAACAGGGAAACUAAUGGAAUUUGUGAUGUCACCACAUGUCCCGUUUUUGUAACUUUAGGAUUGGCCUCAAUGUCCACUUUCUCGCAUUUCUUAGUUCUUACAAAGUCAGGGUCUUGUUUCCAUGCAUUUUCCCUCUUCCAUAUUCAGUUUUUGGGCCCUUCCUGGUAGAAGCAGUAUCUAAAGAAUGCACCCUGCUGCCUUCAGCUCCCUUGCACGUGAGAGUUUUUGCAGCCUGCAGAGGUUGGAUCCAGAGGAGAAAGGAUCUCUCACCUCUCCACACCACCCCUCAGUGCGAAGGGGAAUGGGCUGUUUAUCUCUGCAUGAGAUGGUUUGGAAUCUGGCAGUUUUCCAAAAUUGUCAGAUUGAAAGUAAGAAACCCUAAUUAACAGAUGAGUUGUGCUGUGGACGUGGUCACUCAGCCAUAGGCAGGGCCAGCUGCAGUGGUCACUGAGGUCACUGCUCAAACCAUCCUGCUGUUUGAAGUCUGGUUCAGGAGCAUUUAAGCACCCAUACCUUAACCAGCAGCCUCCAGCACGAGGAAAUGCUGGAGAGACAGGGUUAGUAACCUUCCAAGGAAAUCUGGGACGAGAGUGUUACCCUGAAGGUGCUGCACUGCAAAAUGCAGUACACAGGAGAUCCCUGUAUCACUGAACUCUAGCAAAGUAUCUGUUCUUUGUCCCUCCUGUGACUGAACUGAUACAAUACUGAAUUUCCCUUUAUGUUUUGCUGGGUUACUUGAGUUCUGCAUUUAUUGUUUAGCACAGACAUAGAUGAAGCUUUGAUUUUUCAUGAGUGAUCUCAAUAGGAAUGCACUUUGUGAUGAUCCACUGCCUAAUUGGGAUGUAUGAGAUGAUUUUACACAAUAUCCUCAAUAUCAAUUACUUUACAGGUUCUUAUUUUGAAUGUACUAGCAUUUCCAGAGUGUGUUAACAGUGAUAAAGCAGUACAUUUCAGGAAGUUGUUUGGUGUUUUAAAAAAAAAAGCUUAGAUGAAAAGAAUACAUGUUUCCAAAUAAGAUAGUAACGCAAGGUCAGGAAGAUCUAUAUCUAGACUGAUUGCCAGCACAAAAAUGGAAAGCAGAACAGUGAAUUUAUCAUUUCAAAUUUGCUUUAUUGGUAGCCUCAGCAAAAUAAUCCGAGGGUUACUGGAAAACUCAAGGCACAGGAGUGUGUGCAAGGCUGGUUGUGUAUAAAGUAGCUGUGACAUUUAGUAAUUGGAAGCAAUGAAUCAUGAAACUGGAGGUCUGGAAUCAGAGGUGUUGAAGGUUUGCUAGUCAUUUGCUAAUUAAAUUUUAGGAUAAGUGUUAAUUGCUCAUAAUCUUGAAUCUUUGGGAAUUCCUGGAGUUCCAGAGAUUCUUGUCAAUCAUUUUUAAGUGGUGGGCCAUGGAGUGCAAGACAAUAUAGUCAGGUCUUUUAGUUCUGUGUUUGAAAAAAGGUGUUCAGAGUUUUUUUAUGAUACUGUAUCAUGUAAUUACAUUAAGUGAUAGUGUAGUUCUUAUAGGGACUCUAGUUUUAUAGUUUUUACAGGGACUCUUUUCAUUUUUUUCUGUAGUAGUAUCAUUUGAAAUAAAAAAUAUUUCCUGAAGUUUAGAAACUCGGAGUAAUGUAAACCAAAACAUUAAACGCAGGAAUUCAGAAGUUACAAUAGCCCUUAAAUGUGCUGUUACAUGAGUUGAAAAGAAAUGUGUCAGUGAAUUCUUUUACUGCUAAACAUACAGGGUAGGAUUACAAAGUGCUCUUCCCAUCCAUUUUGUAAAAAAUUAAGAUUAGUGUGCUGGGGAAAUGCUUUCCCAUGAGGGAAAAUAGAGAUCUUACCUGUGUCCCUUAAAAAGAAAAAUUUGUGAAAGGUUGGAAAGGGCGGUUUGUGCAGUGCUUAACACCUUGUGUGUGCUCUUGUGCUUGUGAUGCAAGUAGGUAAAUGCACAGGAUCAUUUGAUCUGGUUGCUGGCUUCUUAGGAAGCCUUCUAGAAAACACCAGAGGCACUUGUAGGGAAGAAUUUGCAGUUACACUGUCCACUGUCCCCAGGGAGCCUUACCAUGCACUCCCUGUUGCAUGGAGAGUGUCUGCUUUCACAGCUCACCUUGCACACCCCAUGUGUUCCUGAACAUAGUGUUACUUUUAAUAAGCUCUGUAUUAAUAAUCAAUUGUUGUUUUGAAUUUGACAGUAACAGGAGAAUGGGUUGGCAGUGCCGAGCUGUAUGAACAACUCACUAUCCUGGGCCAAAUUAUGCUGUCUUUCGUGUCAGUAUUACUCCAGAAUAACUCUGUCAGAGAGAGAGAGAGAAAUGACUGCAGCUUUAGCUUGUAGUUCUACCCUGAUUUACUGACUUUUGCAGCCAUUGGAAGUAACAACCUUCAACAGCAGUGCAAUCGUUAUAGCUCACGGUUAGCAAAAGAAAUCUUGUCCAGCGUAAUUUUCCAAGCGCCCUCUCCUGAAGUCUUUUUAAAUCAUUUUUAAUUGAGGUUAUUUUUACUGUUCAUUUGAACAAACUGUAGUCAAAUUCUUGGACCCAGGAAAGUCAGCCGGUACAUUCCUGUUGGCUUCAACUGGGUGAGGAUCUUGCUGCUCAGAUUUUUCUGAAACCUGAUUCUGGCUGAACUCCUUCCUGCCUUGGACAACUCCCCUUUUGUGAACGUGUGCUAAGAGGACCUCCACGUCAAGCUCAGAGUAUCAGAUAGCAGAUCAUGAACUGUUGCUCCUUAACAUAGCCCUCCACCGCUUGCACCCGUGGCACACGACUGCCUUCUAGGAGUGGGAUUUCACACCCUCCCAGUGGAAAUACCUUACCCAGCCAGGGGGCUGGGAACCAUCUGCACCACAGAAAGUGCCGUCAAGAGUUUCAGUGGGAAGGAGAGUUUGGAAACUCCUGUCUCAGAGCAGGCGUGAGGGAGGGAGUACCUUUUCCUCCCAGAGGAUGGUCACGUGUAUGCAGUGGUUGCAAGGGGACCACACGAUGCUGGAUAUGAUCGAAAAAAAGCGUUGCCUCUGCAAAGAAAUAAAAGCUCGACAGAAAUCAGAGAAAGGACUCUGCAAACAGGACAGCAUGCCUAUUUUGCCAAGUUG